rnacentral:rRNA from 1 species
GAUGAACGCUGGCGGCGUGCCUAAUACAUGCAAGUCGAGCGAACAGACGAGGAGCUUGCUCCUCUGACGUUAGCGGCGGACGGGUGAGUAACACGUGGAUAACCUACCUAUAAGACUGGGAUAACUUCGGGAAACCGGAGCUAAUACCGGAUAAUAUCUUGAACCGCAUGGUUCAAUAGUGAAAGACGGUUUUGCUGUCACUUAUAGAUGGAUCCGCGCCGCAUUAGCUAGUUGGUAAGGUAACGGCUUACCAAGGCAACGAUGCGUAGCCGACCUGAGAGGGUGAUCGGCCACACGGGAACUGAGACACGGUCCAGACUCCUACGGGAGGCAGCAGUAGGGAAUCUUCCGCAAUGGGCGAAAGCCUGACGGAGCAACGCCGCGUGAGUGAUGAAGGUCUUCGGAUCGUAAAACUCUGUUAUUAGGGAAGAACAAAUGUGUAAGUAACUAUGCACGUCUUGACGGUACCUAAUCAGAAAGCCACGGCUAACUACGUG